rnacentral:rRNA from 1 species
UACAGAGGUCUCAAGCGUUGUUCGGAUUCAUUGGGCGUAAAGGGUGUGUAGGCGGCCCGGUAAGUCCGCUGUGAAAGUCGGGGGCUCAACCCUCGAAUGCCGGUGGAUACUGUCGGGCUCGAGUACGGAAGAGGCGAGUGGAAUUCCUGGUGUAGCGGUGAAAUGCGCAGAUAUCAGGAGGAACACCGAUUGCGAAGGCAGCUCGCUGGGACGUUACUGACGCUGAGACGCGAAAGCGUGGGGAGCAAACAGG